rnacentral:rRNA from 1 species
CGGAGGGAUCAUUAAAGAGUUCUAUAACUCCCAAACCCAUGUGAACAUACCUAACGUUGCCUCGGCAGGUCGCACCUACCUUGUAGCACCCUACCCUGUAGGGCCUACCCGGGAGGUGCGGGUAAGCCUGCCGGCGGCCCACCAAACUCUGUUUGAUAUUGAAUUCUGAACCUAUAACUAAAUAAGUUAAAACUUUCAACAACGGAUCUCUUGGUUCUGGCAUCGAUGAAGAACGCAGCGAAAUGCGAUAAGUAAUGUGAAUUGCAGAAUUCAGUGAAUCAUCGAAUCUUUGAACGCAUAUUGCGCCCAUUAGUAUUCUAGUGGGCAGGACCGUUCGAGCGUCAUUUCAACCCUUAAGCCUUCGUUGCUUAGUGUUGGGAGCCUACGGCAACGUAGCUCCUCAAAGUUAGUGGCGGAGUUGGUUCACACUCUAGACGUAGUAAUUUUUUAUCUCGCCUAUUAGUUGGACUAAUCCCCUGCCGUAAAACCCCUAAUUUAUCAAGGUUGACCUCGAAUCGGUUCAGACAAACUCGCUAAAUUGAAGCAUCUUAGUCAGCGAAGGAAAAGAAACCAACAGGGAUUGCCCUAGUAACGGCGAGUGAAGCGGCAACAGCUCAAAUUUGAAAUCUGGCCCUCGGGUCCGA